CAGUGAGAUUCUUAUCGCGCGAUAAAACAAAUGUCGCCGUUAAUCUAUUCUCAAAGUUGGGUUGGGAGCUGGGUCUAUACUACGCAAGCUAUGAUGACUUUCACCUUGAUAUUUUAGCGCGGAUGUAUACCAGUUUAACUGCACUGUACGGAGCGAGAACGAGAUUUUUCAAUUCGCGUCAUUCGCGGAAGCAGAAGCCGCCUCAUCAUCUCAUGACCAGGGCUUCAUUCGCGUCCUUAGUGCCGCCUCAUCAUCUCUUAACCAGGGCUUCAUUCGCGCGAUUCGCGCAGCAAGCUCCAGAGCUGUUAGUCGUCAACCGGAAUCUACCCUUGUCUUGCUCUCUGCUUACUCAAAUAUCUACGACUGCCAUUACCUCUUCUCGAGGGAUCUUGCUACUACCUCCAGCUGCCUGGGGAACCCACAGGAAUUGAGGCUACGGACCUCCACUGUCAAGCAUACGGGAGUACCAGGGUUGUGCUCGUCAUCUCCCGCUCGAGGUAGAUACAGUAGUUCGUCUCAAGUCUCUUGCUAGAAGGAGUCUAGCCAAUUGAACUGUCAUCCUCAAGUGGAUUCUUCCUUGGCUCUCGCUGGAAGGAAUCAAACAAGUUUGAACCGUCAUCAAGUGAAUUCUUCCUUGGCUCUCGCUGGCAGAAAUUACACCAGUCGAACCAUCAUCAAGUGGAUUCUUCCUUGGCCUUCAAGUGGAUUCUUCCUUCCUUCUUCAGUCCCCUGAACCUCCCGGCCGAGCACUCGAGCCUGUAUUGACUUUUGCUGCAUGACAUUCAGAUUAUCUGUCUUUGUGCCUAUUAUUCCCUGUAUGAGCAUUUUGAGCUGGGUCGAAUAAAACAUACCUUCUCCUGCAUCUGACUCUGAGUCGUUCUUAACACU